CUAAUAGCGUAUAUUAAAGUUGUUGCAGUUAAAAAGCUCGUAGUUGAAUUUCGGGAUCAAUAUGUCGGUCGUGCCUUUGGUACGUACUGGUAUUAUUGGUUUCUCUCUUCUGAAGAACCUUGAUGUCAUUAAUUUGGUGUCUUGGGAAAUCAGGACUGUUACUUUGAAAAAAUUAGAGUGUUUAAAGCAGGCUUACGCUUGAAUACAUUAGCAUGGAAUAAUGAAAUAGGACGUUUGAUUCUAUUUUGUUGGUUUCUAGGAUCGAUGUAAUGAUUAAUAGGGAUAGUUGGGGGCAUUAGUAUUCAAUUGUCAGAGGUGAAAUUCUUGGAUUUAUUGAAGACUAACUACUGCGAAAGCAUUUGCCAAGGAUGUUUUCAUUAAUCAAGAAUGAAAGUUAGGGGAUCGAAGACGAUCAGAUACCGUCGUAGUCUUAACCAUAAACUAUGCCGACUAGGGAUUGGAUGAUGUUAAUUUUUUAAUGACUCAUUCGGCGCCUUACG
rnacentral:rRNA from 1 species